GCUGGAAUUGCACCACUGGCCAAUAGGAUUGCAGAAUCCAAACUGUUUUCUACCAGAACUACUCCUUCCCUGCAGAAAGCAGGCUGUGCACGGCUGAACCCUAGUCUGAGAAGGUUGAAGACAUUGACUCAGCCCCAGCAAGGAAGUUAUCCCUCGACUUCUGACCUCUGGCCCUGUUUGAAAACCAACUCAAAUCAUUUUUCAUUUUCAGGUAUGCUGCUCCAAAGCAAUGGCGUGGUUAUUUCUACACAACAAACAUCACAAUUAGUGAUUACAGAGGGAUGGAAUUGGCAAAAGAAUAUCAUGGGUCUACAUGAGCAUGGAGCUGAUAGAAGAAACUGUCAAAUGCAAUUUAAAAGAACACAGUCCUUGUAAUGUAGGGGUGUGCAGAGACAGAAUACAUCUUGAACCAGAACACUAAGGGAGGCUUCACCACAGACGUAAAAGACAAGUCUCAGGAAAAGAUGUAAUUCUAGGGAAGAAAAAAGAUAGAAACUAACAUUACCCAAAUGAAAACAAAUGAAGAUAAAGAUAAUUUCUUGAACAAUAUCUUCACAUCAUGCCUGGGGGAAGUGGAAAGAGAUGGAAAACUGGUAAUUAUUGUCAGCAGACUUAAAAUAUGUAUUUAGGCAGUAAAUUUUAAAUUAUUUUUUGUUUUGAAAUUUGCAGGAAUCUCAUGAAUACAGUUUUUCAAAAUAACGGUUGAAAUGAUGCAAAGAAAAGUCCCUUCUUUGGCCCCACCAAAUCCCACUUUCUGUUCAAAGAGUUGAUCAAAAAACAUACUAGAAAUAACAAAUCUGGAAGGUCAUAAUUUUCUCAAUAAGAAAAAUACAUGCUAGCUAUGCCUUGCUACUCUUAUUAUGCUCACUUUUAUCACUUUUGAUUAUCAGGCAACUUUGAGCAUAAAAUUUCUAGUAUUGCUAUUUCUCUUUUGAAUUUUGUGAUGCUAAAAUGUUCUUGAAAUUAAAAUGUUCCACCCCUUCCCACUCUUCAAAUCCCCAUCUGUUCUCUUGUGAGCACAAGACCCACACAGCUGGUCUCAGACAUGGUCACAUCCACGUUGAUAUAAGAAUAUGUUUGAGUAAGCAAUCUGUGGCUUGGAGAUUUAAUUAAUUCUACAAGACACCAAAAAGUACCAGGUGGAAGGAAGCAGAUAAAUAAGACAGGAUCCCAGCCUUUAAGGAAAUCCUGGCAUACCACUAAAGAAAACUCAAUAUUUUCGUCGAGCAGGAGCUGGAACUGAAGUGAUUAGUGCCUAGGCUUUGGAGUCUUGCAGAUCUGGGUUUGAAUCCAGCCCUGCCACCUAGCAUUUCAUGACCUUUAGAAGAAGAUGAUGUUGAUACUUCAUAAGAUUUUGUUAUGCUUGGCCCUAUCACACCCCUCCGUGCCAUCUCACACUUUAUGGCAACAGAUACUAGUCCUCUGACCACAGAAGUGGACCCAAGAUAUGUCAGUUAGUUUUUAUUAUCUCUGGCCACAGUGAUUGGUUCAGAGAUGGACACAGAAUCUAAUCUGGGCCAAUCAGUUUCCUUCCCAGAGAUUUUAUUCAUUUUUUAUCUGGAGCUAGAAGGGAAGAACUAUUUUUUUUUUUUUUGAUGAUGAGUCUUUAAGAAUGUAAUUUUGGCUGGGUGUGGUGGCUUAUGCCUGUAAUCCCAGCACUUUAGGAGGCCAAGGUAGGUGAAUCACAAGGUCAAGAGAUCGAGACCAUCCUGGCCAACAAGGUGAAACCCCGU
rnacentral:lncRNA from 1 species